CACCGCGGUUAUACGAGAGACCCAAGUUGUUAGCUCCCGGCGUAAAGAGUGGUUAAAAACACAACAUUAAACUGAGGCCGAACAUCCUCAAGGCAGUUAUACGCUCCCGAGGACAUGAAGAACAAUUACGAAAGUAGCCCCACCCCAUUUGAACCCACGAAAGCUAGGACA
rnacentral:rRNA from 2 species